ACGUGGACAAUAUUCAAACGCUAGAUGCAAAGCUGUUUUGAUAACUUGAUUUGCUAACACCACCGUCAGUUUAUUCUUACCUUCAUCACCUUAUCUCUUAAGAGUUGCACAUAUUUUUUUUAUUUCUUUCACUAGAGAAACAGAUGCUUAUCAUUAAUUUGUUCCUACUAUUGACCACUCUCUUCUGUUUUUCAUUGUUUAAGGUAUGUGCAGGUUGCAGAGUUUAAACACCUCCUCCGUGUUAAGCUAACACCAAAGAAUGAAUACUUAUGUUUACCUGUUCUAAGCCAUGACAGAACUCUCAAGCUUCCAAAAGAAUAUGAUACUACAACCGUUUGGUGUUUGUGCACCAGUAUUGGAAGGAUCCUCGGUCAGUCUUAUAUGCUUGCUCCAACAGGAUUGUGCAUCGGUGGCACAAAUUACAUGGUAAUCCAGUGAGAGCCAUAUUCUGUCAUUCGAGGGAAGAAGGAUCUGGUGGUGUUUCAGUCAAGAAGACCACCCAACCUUUUGGUCUUUUCUGUGACAAACCAAUGACUCCUGGACAAUGCAAUAUGGUUGUACAGAGGCUUGGUGACUACCUGAUUGAAUCAGGGCUCUGAAACUCAAGCUGCUGCUAUGUUCAUGUCACCAAUAUUGUCUUCAUAUUGAGAGGAAAACUAUUUAUAUUAUGAAAUAGGAUCGAUCAUUUUAAUAUUCCAACUGUGUCUUACUUUCUAUCAUAUGAUGGAUCUCGGGAUUGUAUGAUUCUAAAGCAGUCUGGUAUUGUCUUCAUUUGUGUCAAGUAGGAAAUUGUAAUUCAUGGCAGUGUCGUACCACAGCUUUUUAUAGAGUUUAUGAUUAGUUUUGGAGAUUAAUUUU